UUAAGUUCAGCGGGUAUUCCUACCUGAUCCGAGGUCAACCUUGAAGAGUUGGAGGUUUUACGGCGAGGCACAACCACUAUCCAAUGCGGGUAUUACUACUACACAGAGGAGUUGCGGAAGGCCGCCACUGCAUUUCGGGGCUGGCUGCGAAGCCAAUCCCCAACACCAGGCUGGGCCUGAGGGUUGAAAUGACGCUCGGA
rnacentral:misc_RNA from 1 species